CACCAUAUAUUAUGCAAACAUUAAUCAAAGGAGAGUGCAAACAGUCAGCAAUGCUGAACCCACUGGGGAACUGGGAAACAGUCCGCAAACCUGUCCCAUAAGAGUCUGAGGUAC
rnacentral:snoRNA from 10 species